rnacentral:rRNA from 1 species
UAGGGAAUCUUCCACAAUGGACGAAAGUCUGAUGGAGCAACGCCGCGUGAGUGAAGAAGGUUUUCGGAUCGUAAAGCUCUGUUGUUGGUGAAGAAGGAUAGAGGCAGUAACUGGUCUUUAUUUGACGGUAAUCAACCAGAGAGUCACGGCUAACUACGUGCCAG